rnacentral:rRNA from 1 species
GAGUUUGAUCUUGGCUCAGAGUGAACGCUGGCGGCAGGCCUAACACAUGCAAGUCGAGCGGCAGCGCGGGGGCAACCCUGGCGGCGAGCGGCGGACGGGUGAGGAAUGCAUCGGAAUCUACCUCGUUGUGGGGGAUAACCUCGGGAAACCGGGACUAAUACCGCAUACGACCUACGGGUGAAAGUGGGGGACCGCAAGGCCUCACGCGAUGAGAUGAGCCGAUGCCGGAUUAGCUAGUUGGCGGGGUAAAGGCCCACCAAGGCGACGAUCCGUAGCUGGUCUGAGAGGAUGAUCAGCCACACUGGAACUGAGACACGGUCCAGACUCCUACGGGAGGCAGCAGUGGGGAAUAUUGGACAAUGGGCGCAAGCCUGAUCCAGCCAUGCCGCGUGUGUGAAGAAGGCCU